rnacentral:lncRNA from 1 species
AGCUAGAUGAUAACGAAGAUAAAUUUAGCUCGGAUUAAUUUUGAAAUGUCCGAGGAAUAUAUUAUAAAUAUGCACCUUAUGCAACAGUUAUUUAAUGGUUAAUCUUGGACAUUAUUAACAUCGGAAGUUUUUGUGCUCUGCUCUCACCAUUGUCAUGAAUUAUCUACUUGGGAGAAGAUGUUGCAUGAUCAUUCCGUUUAGGGUGCACGUAAAAAUACAUUUUUGUUUGGCCUUUGCUAAAUAAGAUCCUUUGGCAGUUUAACCUAGGGAGACAUUUCAUUUUCUUUCUAAAUCUUAAUGGACCUUGUUGUCAAGAGGAUAAAUACACACAAUCGUUACAAUAUACCAACUGGAAUAUUUGUUGUUUUUGUACAGGCUUUACAAUAAUACCGAAGGGCAUAAAAAUGGUCUGUGCCAAGAUGUUAUAUUAUUAAUAGUGUGAAAUGUUGUCCUUUACCUAUAAUACCUUCCACACUAAUGGGAAACCUGUGAGGCUUACUUUGGUAUCAAGAAGUUUUGCAAAUGACUUCCUCUCCUGGAAAGUGAAGUGGUUUGCUGAAGAAUGAGCUUGUGGCAUGUAAUUGGUUUCUGUUUGGACACGUUAGGAGUUAUAAGACUAAGAGAUUGCCCAACAAAUGAAAAGGAAUUGCAGUUAACUUUGAUGCUACUGAAACAAGCGUUGCAUCUCUGCUAUGGUUUUUUAUCUGUUAGCUUUACAUCUUGGAAACUGUUGUAGUUAAUUAAUUAAGGUCUCAUUUUGGAGGAACAUUAGAAGCACUCCAGUUGUCAUUAAAUUAUGGAGCUUAGGUUGUGUCAGUCCUCCAUUGCUUUAGAAGGCAGUUGUACCUAUGGCCCCGAAGAGAGUAUGAAAAUGCAAUUUUUUCAUUGGGAAUGGGGGCAGUGUGCUGUUGUUGCAGAAAGGAUUUAUGACAAUGAACUGAUAUGGCAGAUCCAUAACAGCAUAAUUAAUGUGGAACUUAUUUUAUCUUCAUACUAGUAGAUUUUAGAACGCUACUUUCUACAGAGAGAUUGAUGUUGUGACGUAUGUAUAGUAUUUUAAAUAUCUAUAGUCCUCCACAGCACUAUGGUAUGUCGUUUAACGUUUAUCUAUUGUUUACAGUUUAAAUUGACUGGUGCAUCUGUGGAAUUUUAAUAAAUUAAUGUUUUGUGCGUCUAUGAUUGUUUCACAUUUAUAUGUCAUAUUUAGUCUGUCAUUAUGUAAACUUGACGCUUGUUGCCAUUUUAUAAUUCAACUAGAAUACUUGAUAUAAUUAAUUUUAGUUGCUCUUUAUUAAUCUAUAGUGGCAUUUCUUUUAAACUGUUAUCUAUUUGGCCAGAGUAUAGAUUGAUGUGACGUAUUGUAUAGUAUUUUAAAUAUCUAUAGUCCACAGCAUGUAUGGUAUGUCGUUUAACAUUUAUCUAUUGUGUACAGUUUAAAUUGACUUGUGCAUCUGUGGAGUUUAAAUAAUUAUCUAUUGUCUACAUUCUAAAUUAAUGUUAUGUGUAUCUAUGAUUAGUUCACAUUUAUAUGUCAAAUUUAGUCUGUGAUUAUGUAAACUUGACGCUUGUCGCCAUUGUAUAAUUCAGCUGUUUUACUUGGUUUUUGAUGCGUGUUUUUGGAUGUGUUUGAUCUGUUCCUUAAUUAAUAGUGUAAUUAAUAUGUUUUUUUUUACCCAUUUCUACAGAUUGUUCAACAAGUGAGAGGGAGUUGAAGUUCAUUUUGGUCAUACUGAAACAACCAUUGUCUACAUGGGUGUGGUCUUCGGUGAACUACAUUCUUGAUUUGCUGUUUUCGUUCGCUUUGCAUCAUUCUGCAGUUAGUUUUGAACUGAUGUGUGAGAACAACUGGAUAUUUAUUUGACUUCCACUGAAAUAAGGAAUAUUCUGCAUUGGCAUUAUUUCUGGAUCUGGUUUGCUUUUCUCAUCUGCAAACUGUGGAACAUUACAGUUAAUUAAGGUGAGAAUACUUGAUAUAAUUAAUUUUAAUUGCUUUUUAUUAAUCUGUUUGCGACCGUAUU